UGGGAGAACAGGUGGCAUUCUGUGGCCAGC
rnacentral:piRNA from 1 species